UAAUAAAAACUACAAAAGUGAAAAUUCCCUUGGCGAUGCUCUAACCUAUAUAAAGAAAAGCAUGAAACAAUAUUUUCAGAAUUAAAGUCAAGAAAAUGCGUUCUCUUCUUAAAAGUCCUUGUAAGAUGGCUAAUGGCUUUUCUCAUCAUGCUUCAUGCACUCAUCAUAAAGAGCCUGAAACAGAAGGAUGAACUGGUAAGAGUGACAAGUCAACAGUAUUACCUGAACAUUGUUCUGAGUUGCUGCUAAAGACAUAAAUGCCCUUCCACACAGAGAGGGUGAAAAAGAACAAGAUAGAAAUCACGAUCCGGCAGCUGAAGAAAGAUCAGGAUGACAGUGUCAUGAAAAUCACCAAGCAGAGUUUCCAGGACAACAUCUGCACUGUGGGCUGCUAAGGGAAAGUGAAGAUUUAGAGUCAACCACCAAAUGCUGUGAUGCUGGAGACUCAGUAUGGCUGCUCAGGCUCAAGGCAUUAUCGAUGGUGUCAGAUGCAUCAAAAAAGCAGAAGUGCCCUUUCAGCUCUUCUCGGUGCCAUUCCUUGUCAAUUUCAUGCUGCCUACAGCAACAACAUAAUACUAAAAACAGCAAUGAUGUCACUGGAAGUGCUCUGUGAUUGACAAAGAAGAACGGUAAUAGUCAGAGGUGACUCCUCAGAGAAUUCAGAACUCACUCGAUGUCAUCCAGGGGCUCAUCCCCUGAUUGGAAAGAGGGAUGAAGUGUUCUCUGCAUGAAAAAGCAUAGAUGAGAAGUGAUGUAGAUACAGAAGAUUGGUCAGUUACUCUAGAGGUACUUAGACGCAGGACAGGCUGAACAUGGAAAACUUGGUUAGGUUCUCCGUAACAAGCUUGGGGCCCCCAGAAAUGUAACGACAGUAAAGCACAUUCCUUAACUCUCACACUUGUUGAAAUGAGGAGAAGGUGGCAUUUGUUUGGAAAUCCCUCCCCAGUCUUUGUUCCCAGAACCCAGCAUUCGUUUUCCUGUGCCUACAUACGUAGCUCCUCAGAUAAACAUUACUACUGCAACAAAUCGUAGAGUGCCAGGCCUCAGCAGAUGGUUACAUUGAAUUAAAAAUAUAUGCAGAAAUAAGUUCUAAAGUGAAAAUGGAUAAAGAUAUAACUCUCACUAAUUCCCAAAAUUGCCUUCUAUUACAGCGAUGCUGCUACAAAUACCGCCCGAAUCUUUGUUCCCGGCGUUGUCCUCUUUUGAAAGCCUCUGUACUUCUUCUCUAUUCAUAAAAGGACCAGCUAAAGUCACACAUCCUUCAUGAAUGCUCUCUUGACAAUUCACACGUAGCGAUCCCUUCCUUCCUGGAAAUCCUACUGCUUGCCUUUUAUUUGCCCUUUAAUCAUGACUGUCCUUUCCUAUCAAGUUUAGAAAUCUCUUUUCUUCUCAAAGAGAAGAGGCAAGUUAAAAAUUCUGCCCUCUGCUGAGCCCCCACGAUAUGGACAAGGUAGGGAGAAGAACAGGAGUCUGCAGACCGGGAUGGAUUGCACACAAUUAUAAACUGUAGCCUAAGCCAAGUCUAAUUAGAGGAAGUUUCUUUCAGGAAGAAACUGUUCCUCCCAAUUUUCUUCUUUCUUUUCACAUGACAUUUCUUUUCCUUUCAUGGGAGAUAGGAUAGUCUAAUGGAAUUAAACCAUUUAGAUGUAAUUCCAAUUCUAGUUGAUGUUAACCAUAUGGCGCUGGGGAAUUUACUCACUUCCCUCAUGCCUCAGUUUCCGCAACUGUAAAAUGGACUUAAUAAAAAUCGUUGCCUUUUGCAUCGCUCUGAGUACUAAUUAAACUAACAUAUAUAAAGUGCUUUGAACAAUACCCAAAAUACAGUGAGUGCUUAAUAAAUGAGGGCUAUUAUUUCAUUAUGAUUAAAUUGUUUCUUAUUAGCUUAGUAUUGAAUUACAUUCCCCUCUGGUUUCUCUCUCAGUAGAGGUCACUUGUUUGAAAGCACAGUACACCUGCCUGCAGACCAGUGACCUACUGCCCAGAGCCUCAGGCUGGAUGUGGGGGAAGCUGAUCCCUCACUCACUGAUCAGCACACCAGCCCAGGAGUCUUUGGGAUAAUCACUGAUAUUUCUUCACGGCCUUUGGCAGAUGAUGACGAGCACACCAAAUAUGUGGUCUUCCAUCCACAGUACACAUUUAUUGCUGGGAAGUGGUUUCUCCCAGAGACUGUACUUGCCAGGCCUCUUCCCUUGUUUUCAAAUGGUGAGCCCCAUUCUGGCAAAUGGGAUAUAAGCAGAAGUGACAUGUGUCACCUCUAGUCCAAGCAUGCUCUUCCUCUUCUUCAUUCUCCACUCUCUGACUUGAUGCAGAUGCACACAGUGACCUCAGCAGCCACUUGUUAAAGACACUGGGUCCAUCUGGUGGGAAUUUUCUAGGAGUCCUGAUGUACUGACUGCAGGAAAGCAGCCUGCAAUCACCAGUGCCUGUGCUGGGCUUCACGAGAGUGGGCAGUGAAAUUCUGUUCUGUGGUCCAUUAUCUGGUGUUGGGUGUAUUUGUUCCAGUAGCUGGUGUUAUGCUAAGUAAUAUGUUGCCCAUCAGUAAAUUGGAGAGAAGCCUUCCCAUUUUACCAAAAAUUAAGUAUUAAUUCAAAAUAUCAAAGUUUCAGAAAGUACCCAGUAAAUAGAUGUGGUAAUAUUUUCCUGCUUACUUGGUACUUACAUUCUAAGAAAAUAGUGUUAAACUUGCAUAAUAGCUCACCAUUGCUUCUUGACUCAUCCAUAAACUGAAAUGCUCUGAAAUGCUCUGGGUUCCAAAGUAAGUGAGUUGCAGCAGAGUCUGUCUUAGGCUCUUGAAAGAUGCUUAUUAAGAGGCAGGUUUGAGGGAAAGGAAGGCUUAGGGAGAGACCAUCUUUUGUCAUCAUGACAAACACCGAAAGAGUUUUAAGUAAAGAGUUGAGCAAGGCCAGUUUACCAUUGAGUUAAGUUCCCAGAGCUUUAAUGAAUUUUUGUCAAAUGCACUUAAAUGGUUUUGUAGUACUGUGAUCCAAAUAAAUAUCCUUGAUUUUGCUGUUGUCUCUGCUUUUAAGCACACAA